rnacentral:lncRNA from 1 species
UCACCUCUCUUCUAUUUUUAGUUAUACAAAGGUGUCCGAGCUUGGUAUCUUUUCCAGAGGAUGGUUUUCCCACCAACCUCCAAUCAGUUGUGGUUGAUGAUCCGAAAAUAUCAAAGCCAUUGCUCGAGUGGGGAUUGAACAGAUUCACCUCUCUGAGGCGAUUCACAAUCAGGGGAGGAUGUCCAGACCUGGUGUCACUGCUGUACCGUACAUCCGCCUUGGCCGUACAGCAGAAAUCUUCUAUUUCUUGGUGGGUUCUAAAUCGUUUCCUUCUCUUGAUGUUCAUAGAUGUUUGAACAGGUUAGAUGUUUGACGGAAUGAAUUAGAUUUUCGAUGAAAUGCCUCUGUGAUCAGCCUUAUCCUGAACCUCAACAUCCGCACUCUGUACAGCAGGUAUUGACAUGGCAACUGACUCAGCAGAAACUGAUGACUCAUAGUAAGGAUGAUUUUGCAUAAAGUAUUGUAUAAAACAAGUGUAAAUUGACCUUUGUAAAGUUUAGUGAAUCAUGUCCAUUAGAUUGAAAUGAACUUGGGGUUCAUUAGAUUUUUCUUGAUCAUAAUAUUUUGAUAAGAUGAAAUGAACUUGGGGUUGACUAACUCGUUAACUUAUAGACUUGAAAUUGGAGUGCAGGUCAAUAAAAAUUGUCUCUUUACUCUUGUUUCAGGAAUCAGAUUCAAUCCAUCUCAGAACAUUGAGAUCAAAUUAUCAUUUUUACUAUUAAGUAAAUUGGUUAAAAUAGAAAACGUCCCUAUGAAUUGCUAGUCAUGUCAUGCAACUGUAUAUAGAAAAUUAUUCAAUGCAUCACAAUACAAAGUCAUGAGUGGUAAUAUAUUAUUUAGAAUUCAGAUUAUGUAUCAACCAUAUGUACAAGUUUAUAUAUCCUUAAUUAAAUAUUUUACAUAUAUUUUGCGACGUAUUGAUUUCUUGUAAUCAAAUUAUAGAUGAUUUCAUGUAUUCCAACUGUUGAUGAAUUGACAUCAUUAAAUAGUAUUUUUUUUUAUUUUGAUUAAUGAUUCAGAUAUUACGACAAAAUUUUCAGUAAAGAAAACAAGUAAUAAAAAAUUAAAUAUAUAAAAAAUUAUGGCAAACUUUUCAUAAUCUUUUCGAUCAAAUAUAAAAUUUGCAUAAAAAUAAAUUUUAAUCGUAGAAUAAUUAUUAAUUAGAGAAAUAUUUAAAAAAUAAGUUGUUCUAUACGUAAUUUUUAGUUAUACAAAGGUGUCCGAGCUUGGUAUCUUUUCCAGAGGAUGGUUUUCCCACCAACCUCCAAUCAGUUGUGGUUGAUGAUCCGAAAAUAUCAAAGCCAUUGCUCGAGUGGGGAUUGAACAGAUUCACCUCUCUGAGGCGAUUCACAAUCAGGGGAGGAUGUCCAGACCUGGUGUCAUCUCCACGGUUUCCUGCCUCUCUAACCGUACUGGAGAUUUUUGACAUGCCAAAUCUGAAACACCUUUCCUCAAUUAGUGAAAACCUCACUUCUUUGGAAUUUCUGUAUCUCGAUAAAUGUCCGAAGCUCAAAUACUUUUC